CGGAACGUGCCCAGUAGCGGGGGAUAACUACGCGAAAGCGUAGCUAAUACCGCAUACGCCCUACGGGGGAAAGGGGGGGAUCGCAAGACCUCUCACUAUUGGAGCGGCCGAUAUCGGAUUAGCUAGUUGGUGAGGUAAAGGCUCACCAAGGCUUCGAUCCGUAGCUGGUUUGAGAGGACGACCAGCCACACUGGGACUGAGACACGGCCCAGACUCCUACGGGAGGCAGCAGUGGGGAAUUUUGGACAAUGGGGGCAACCCUGAUCCAGCAAUGCCGCGUGUGCGAAGAAGGCCUUCGGGUUGUAAAGCACUUUUGGCGGGAACGAAACGGUGCCGGAUAAUACCUGGCGCCACUGACGGUACCCGCGGAAUAAGCACCGGCUAACUACGUGCCAGCAGCCGCGGUAAUACGUAGGGUGCAAGCGUUAAUCGGAAUUACUGGGCGUAAAGCGUGCGCAGGCGGUUCGGAAAGAAAGAUGUGAAAUCCCAGGGCUCAACCUUGGAACUGCAUUUUUAACUCCCGAACUAGAGUAUGUCAGAGGGGGGUGGAAUUCCACGU
rnacentral:rRNA from 1 species